rnacentral:rRNA from 1 species
AUGCUUAAUAACUAUGGUUUAGAAAAACAUCCAUUUUUGACUCAGAUUUAUGAGGUCAGGCAGAAGUGGGCUAAACCGUACUUCAUGGGUGUUUUUUGUGCAAAAAUGAUUAGCACGCAGCGUAGUGAGAGUGGAAAUACCUUGCUGAAAGGAUAUAUACCACUUGGUUGUCCGAUGCAUCUUUUUGUUAGUCAAUUUGAAAAAAUACACUUUGAUAGAGAUUCAGAGGAAAGCUACCAAGAGAAACAGACAACUAUAGUAAGUUAUAGUUUAAUUUUUGUUUUGUUUUAUGAUACUAUGAUUGCUAUUUAA